GACGAACCACCCAAACGUUAUUCGGAAUUACUGGGCUUAAAGGGUGCGUAGGCUGUGCGGAAAGUUGGGUGUGAAAUACCUCAGCUUAACUGAGGAACUGCGCUCAAAACUACCGUGCUCGAGGGAGACAGAGGUGAGCGGAACUUAGGGUGGAGCGGUGAAAUGCGUAGAUACCAAGAGGAACACCAGUGGCGAAGGCGAGUCCCUGGACAACACCUGACACUGAGGCACGAAAGCUAGGGGAGCAAACAGG
rnacentral:rRNA from 1 species